ACCUUUUUCUCUAAACAACACGCGCGCUUUUCUCUAUUCAUUCUCCCUGUUUUCACUUUCCCAAUCCCAUCCUCAAUUCUUAAGUUUCACUCUCACUUCUCAAUUUUCCUUGUGGAGAAAUCUUCCAAUUUCCCAUAGAAAUGCUUCAGCCAUAGUAACUAACUCUCUUCCAUGUGCUAGUGCUUCAGAUCCACCGUUCUCUUUCGUGAACCGCCGUCAUUCUGCAUAUUCUCUGGGAGACCGGAACUCACCUCGCCGUCACAAAGAUCCAAAGACUCGAUGAACUGUUUGUCGACUGGAGGAAUUCACUAUUUUCGCUGCCGUCACACACAAACUCAUAGAUAAAUCACGAAGGCCCAACUGUGCUAAUUAUUCAGGAUAAAGAUGCAAGGGGCAUGCUGAUAUAACCUUCAUUUUAUUGUUUAACAUUUUUUAGUGACAGUACUUUUGAAGAAAUGCCAAGACAUACAAGUUCGUUGUGGGUCAUCUGGUAAUAGUAUCAAUGCUAAUGUAACCAAUACUUCUUUAAGAACAAUUAACCUUCAAGGACAUUAAUGGACUAGUUGAGCAGAAUGUCCAACUCAGAAGCCUUGCAAUGUCUCUGGACAGUCAGGAGGUGGAAUUCAAGGAAAAGCUUGAAAUAGAACUCAAAAAACAUACUGAAGAAACUGCUUCUGAAGUAGCGGCUGUUCUACAGACAGAAGAGCAAUGACAAAUGAUUGAAUCGUGUCAUACAUCUGUAAGCUAGUAUAAUAUCUGUAGUUCUUCUUUCCAUUUUCACAUCUUAUUUUUGUUUAUCCUUUUUUGAAAGGGUGUUAUUCCUGUUUAUUAAAUAAAAAUGUCACUUUAAUGAUUGACUAGCUAGUUAGAUUUGAAAGAUUAAAGAGAUGUCAACUCCAUAUUCCACCGAUAAAUUCGAUGAUUAUUUUAAACAAAGUGAUUUAGUACAUGUAAACAAGACCUUAUUUAGCACCCCAAACAAGGCCUUAGUACAAUACAUAGAAAUUAACAACAGAGAAACACAAUGAAAAACAUUGAAAAUGACACAGAAAUAUGAUCAACCAAGACAUAAGUUAGUUCCCUUCUUUUCAGCUGGAGGCCUCUGAUGGGAGUGGCACCCAAACAACAUGCUUUACAGGGAAGAAAUGGCACAGUGGACCGUCCCCGGGCUUCAUUCCAAGAUAUUUGAAUAUGAUAUGAUUAGGAGGCAUGUCAGAUGUGUCUAGGUGGCAAAUGGCCAAAGCAUCCAUAAUGUCUCCAUAUUGACCCUUUAGAAGAACUUUGAAGAGCUUGCUCCCUAUGUCUAGAUAAUGGCAAUAGUAUAGAGCAUAAGGAUAAGGUCUUGGGUGACAAGCUACCCAUUUAGGAGCAUAGAUAUCCUUUGAGACUUCCAAAAUAGUGUAGUUCUGCAAAGCUGCACCCGAUGUUGUGGGCCACUGAGUUGUUAGAACAUUAUAUUUGGUGUCAGCACCGAUGACACUAUGGACAAAUUCAACCAUAGACUCUAGAGAAGUAGGACAAGCCUUGGUCUCUCCUUUUUGCAGUGGAGAUUCACAUUGAUCAAUUAUGUCAUUCAGGUCUUCACCUUGGGGGGAAUCCUUUGUGAGCUUGAAUAGUUGAAGAAGGCUUGGUACUUGUGACUUGGAGAAAGGAAUGGAGUCUGCCACUUUUUUUGGCAAGAAAUUAGCAUAUUCUCUGAUAGGAAAUGAUAGGGUCAUUACAUUCCCUACAUAUAUAUCUUCUAGAGCGAAAAAAGCUAACUUGAAUGCUUCUGUAUGGUCAACUUUAAAAGAUAGUUUAUCAUUUGGUUCUGCAUGUGAGUUUUUCAACCAACCAUCAAGGUAAGCUUGAGUCGAGAUGUGGGUAGGUUUUGUUUUUUCAACCAGGCUAUCUUUUAGCCAACCAUCAAGGUAAGCCUGCUUGAUAGUUUUUUCCUUUAGGUCUUUGUUAUCUUUCAACCAACCAUCAAGGUAAACUUGGUUGGAGUUAGGGGUGGAUAUUGCUUUUUGGCCAUCUUUCAACCAUCCAUCAAGGUAAGCUUGGUUGGUGUUAGGGGUGGAUUUUGCUUGCCUAUCUUUUAACCAACCAUCAAGAUAAACUUGGUUGGAAUUAGGUUUUUGGCCAUCUUUCAACCAUCCAUCAAGAUAAGCUGGAUUGGAGUUGGGGAAUGACUUUGUUUGACCAUCUUUCAACCAACCAUCAAGGUAAGCUUGAUUGGAGUUUUGGGUAGUCUUUUCCUUUUGAUCCUUGGUAUCUUUCAACCAUCCAUCAAGGUAAGCUGAAUUAGAAUUACCGGUAGAUUUUUUAUUGCGGCCUAGGGUGUUUUUCAACCAUCCAUCAAGAUAACCUUCUUUAGAGUUUGAGUUGAUUUUUUCGUUCUUCAGUGGUGUGUCUUUGAGCCAGCCAUCAAGGUAAGGCUGAUCAGUUUCUUGCUGAAUCUUCAUAUCCAUAGCAAAGCUUCCGUGGCCAUUCUAAAAUGCAAUUAAAUAAGAAGUAUUAACAAAUGACAAUUUAACUACAUGUUUUGGAUGAUCUAUAUGAUCACAUAUAGAAACAUAAGUGUUUAUUUUGAGAGACACAUUUUGCUGCAUACUAGUGAAGAUAUAAAAUUCAUUUUGUAUAAUAGCAGACGGGUACCAAUCUGAAACAACAAAAUAGGGAACAACAGGAGACCUAUUCUCUGAAACAAAAGAUAUAGGGAAUAAUGUAGGCCCGUUUGGUUUGUGAAAUCGUUUACUAUUUUAAAAUGUUAAAAUUUGUGUUAAUUUUAUUUGUCAACGGCAAAAGAUGAUAGACUAUUGCAAUCAACAAAUUUUAAAAACAAUGAGAAUGUCAAAAUCUUAUUUUUCAUAUUUUUUGUCAUCAUUAUUCACUAGCAUUUCAUCUUCUUUUAAUCAUAAAAACAAAAACAGCCCAAACAAAAACAGGAAGGAAAAGCCUAGGCCCAAUCGUUAGCUAAGGAGCCCAAAGCCCAAACAGGCAUGAAUACACUAAACAGACCCCCCAAAUAACCAGAAAUCUCCUGCCAAGACCAGAAAAAACAGCAUUAACAGCAGAAAGUUAAAAACCAGAAGACCAUAAAAUAGCAGAACUGAUGCAGGAAAAAAAAAACACACGCAGAGCAGCAUGACACCCCCAGGUCUUCAAUCACCGCCGCAUACAAAUCACCAGUUCCGUCAACCACUCAUAUAAAAGACAAUGAUACACUUUCUCAUUACUCAAAAGCAGCAUACAUGCAUGUAAACUCAAAAUGUCAACAGCAGGACAAAAUAAUGAAACUUAAUGAUAGCUUAUGUUAAUUAAAUAAUCAAAACCGCAAAUGUUAGCCAUUUCAAAAUAAAAAAGUGUGAAGAUACAAGCAUUCAAGUAAAUUCACGAUGAUUAAGAGUAGCUAGCACAAAGGAUGAAUAUUAUUAAUGAUGUAGUAUUAUGAUAAAUAAAUGAUGAAAAGGUGCGCAAAUGUAAAGAUACAAGAGAUGCAUGCAAUGCAAGUAAACUUACGAUGAUGAAGAGCAAGACAAAAGGAAGGAGAGACAAAACAACUCUGCGCACCAUAUCUUAAUUACUUCUAUAUGUUUAAUUGAUUACUGUGAAAGAUGAAUUGAAAUACAAGUGAAGUGUGCUUUUUAUAAGUGAAUGAGAAGAAAAAUGACAAAAAAUGAUCACAUGCAUUGAGUUUAUGUGAAUAUUUUUCUUCAUGACUUAUUUUAUUAGCUUUCUUUUAACCAACCAAUAGGAGUUAAUGCAUGCAUGGGAAUUAAACAAGUCUUAAAUUACUCUUUUUCAGAUAAUGUGAAUUCUAAACCAUUUUGCUAUCUUGAUAUUGAUGUUAGUCGAUACUCAUUGGUGAGCUCUUAAUCUUAUCAAAGAAAGCCAAUGUGGGGAAGUAGGGAACUUCCCAUGUUUGUGCAUAGGAGGCCAACUAACUCAGAAUUCACAACAUAGCCAAAUAGUUUUGGAUAACUAUGGUUUGCAUGCUUGACAAGUGUGGAUACUAGUCUCAUUAGAAAAAUUAAGAUAAGAUGCCGUUUAGGAUAAUUACUAGGGUUUUGCAUGCUUGACAAGUGUGGAUACGUUUAUAAAAAAUUGUUAUAGUGCGUAGUAUUAUUAUUUGAAUUUUACCAUCGGUUUAAUCUGGUUCAGAGGUCAGUUCUGACAUCAAGUGAUUCCAGCCUCCUCCCAAUCCCAGUUGUGAGGAUCGAAUCGCGGUCCUUCCUAUCAAGUUCAACGUCAAUCACCGCUAGAAAAAUUAUUACAUUAAAUAUAGUAUUAAACACAAUGUUUUGAAAUAAUGUUGUUUAAAAGUGAUACUAUUAUUCUAUAGGUCUUGCUAACGAGUGGUCAAUGACAUUUUUUAAGCAUCUUACAUAAUAAACUUUUAUGAAAAUGUGUGAAGUUAAUAAUGUACAUUAAAAAUUGAAAUGUUUAAUUUUUUAAAUAAAUAAUUUCCUUAAAUGAAAUGCUUAAAGAGCGUCUCGGAAAAACUCGUUAGCAUUUUUGAUAUUUUUUAGGAGUAAUAUUCAACUCUCAUAGAAUAAAUAUAUCAAUCAUUGAGUGAACUUAUUUUUUAACCCACUUGGGUUGGUCUGAGGUUAUUAACUUGAGACCUGAGAGUGUGCUCCUUCUUAAGGUCUCAGGUUUAAUGCUCUCUGAUGCUAAUUUGGGUGGGCUAAUUUAAUUUCUUAAAAAAAAUUAAACUUAUUUUUUCUUCAUUUCAUAUAUUUAUAUGCCCGUUCAAUUGCUAAUUUUACUUAAUACUACAAAUUCAACAAGUUAUCCGCUACUUUUUUGUCAAACAAAGUCAAAAUUGAUUAUUAUAAAUUUAAGGCUUACUUGCAUAUUUACUCCCUUACGUUUAUUUUACAUUUCAAUUUGGUUCAUUACAUUUAAAAAAUUUUAACUUAGUCCGUUUAGUAAAAAAAUUUGUUUAAAUUGUCCACAUGACGAAUAGAUUUGCAUACACAGCCAAGUUGGGAGGAUAUUAUACGUGAAAGUUUAAUAUGAAAUUAUCUCAAAAUUUUACAUAAAAUUAGAUAAAAUUAACUCAAAAUUAAAAAAAAAAAAACUAAUAUUAUUGACAUUGUAAGAGAUGAACUUUGAAACGUUACAAAUUAAAAAGGUAAAGUCGUACCUAAUAACUUUACUUAAAAUCAGAAGAAAAAAAAUUAACGACACAAGUAAGUCAUAUAUGUCGGUGACAACUUACCCCUGUUUGACGAAAAAUUUGAAAACUAUACAUGGUAAUAAACUUGAAAAAGUAUACUUUUUUGUGCACAGUGUAUGACACAACACUAUGUUUUAUGUUAGUAAUGCUUAGUGAAGAAAAAUUUACAUAAAAAUAAUUUAUAAAAAGAAGAAAUUUAACCAAUAAAAAUUUGACUAAAUAUACAUAUAUAGAGGAAAGAGUGAUUAUAAUUUGUAAGUGUUAAAUAUUGCCAAAUAUAAUUAUUCUCUUGUAAAUUAUUUUCUUAUUAAAUAGUUGCAUUUUUUAUUU